rnacentral:rRNA from 1 species
AGCGAACGUUUGCGGCGGGCCUAACACAUGCAAGUCGAACGCACUAGCAAUAGUGAGUGGCGCACGGGUGCGUAACACGUGGGUAAUCAACCCUUCAGCCUGGGAUAACGACUCGAAAGGGUCGCUAAUACCGGAUACGGCGCGAGAGGCUUCGGCUUCUCACGAGAAAGCCACGCAAGGGGGCACUGAAGGACGAGCCUGCGGCCCAUCAGCUAGUUGGUGAGGUAAGAGCUCACCAAGGCUAAGACGGGUAGCUGGUCUGAGAGGAUGAUCAGCCACACUGGAACUGAGACACGGUCCAGACUCCUACGGGAGGCAGCAGUGGGGAAUAUUGCGCAAUGGGCGAAAGCCUGACGCAGCCACGCCGCGUGAGCGAUGAAGGCCUGGGUCGUAAGACUCUGUGGGAGGAGACGAAGAAAGACCUGUGAAGAGCAGGCCUUGACGGUAGUCUCCUUAGUCAAGCACCGGC